ensembl:snoRNA
CCUUCGCUGAUGAUCUAGCAUGAUGACUUUCGUUCUUCUGAGCGUGCUGAAGCCACAACUGUGAUCUGAGAAGG